rnacentral:rRNA from 1 species
GCUGGCGGCGUGCCUAACACAUGCAAGUCGAGCGGAGACUAUUUGGAAAGCUUGUCUUUUUGGAUUGUUUCAGCGGCGGACGGGUGAGUAACGCGUGAGCAACCUGCCUUUAACAGGGGGAUAACGCAUCGAAAGAUGUGCUAAUACCGCAUAAGACCACAACGCUACAUGGCGAAGGGGUCAAAGGAGCAAUCCGGUGAAGGGUGGGCUCGCGUCCGAUUAGAUAGUUGGUGAGGUAACGGCCCACCAAGUCGACGAUCGGUAGCCGACCUGAGAGGGUGAUCGGCCACAUUGGGACUGAGACACGGCCCAAACUCC